CUUUGGAGCAAAGACAACACAAUACUCCACAACAUCCACUAGAGGGAGUCACACACUGUUAAACUUCAAUGCUUUCUUCUGAUCCAGUCUAGAUUCUUUUCCCUCAUCAGACACAGUUGUGAUAAAGAGCUUUAGAAAUGAAAUUCAUUUGAUAUAUGAGUCUCCUCCUACUGACUGCAGAGGUGGCUGCUUGGCAGAGAACUGUUUGAUUCCAGCUGUGAACAUCAGACCAAACACAACUCACAAAACCACUCACAACUUCUUCAUCCUGAACGUCCAGUUUCAACAGUUCUCCUCUGUAAACAUGGAAAAACUCACUGUGAUUUUCUUCUUUUCAACUCUCGUAGGACUAACAGCUGGAGACUCAAUCUCUCCUGAAAGAGGUGAAGUCAGUGGAACAGAAGGACAAUCUGUCACACUCAGAUGUACAUAUGAGACAUCAUACGUUGGUGUUUAUCUUUACUGGUACAGACAUCAUUCUGAUCUUCAGGCACCUCAGUUUAUACUGUGGAAAAGAGCACCACCAUAUAGCAGUAGUGAACAUAUUCCUGAUGAUCGAUAUAAAUCCCAAACAACAGAUAAAUCAACUGAACUGACCAUAAACAGACUAACCCUGGCAGACACAGGUCUCUACUACUGUGCUCUAGAAACACAGUGAUACAAAGUGUAGAAGAGGCUGUACAAAAACCUGAACACAGAUAUCUGACUACUCUUCAAAGAGGAGGGAAGUGGGAUUCAAACCACAGCUUCAUAUCAGAUGGAUUCUGCUAAUUCCUGUUUUAUCAGAGUCACUGUGGUUACAGCUGCUAAUCAAACACUGUGGGAGGAUUCACAUGAGCAGCAAAUCCACAUCAAUGACAAACCAACUGGAUGAUGCUUCAAACACAACACACCAUGAAAACAAA